rnacentral:rRNA from 1 species
CAAGUCUUACCGGUGGAUCACUUGGUUCGUAGAUCGAUGAAAAACGGGGCUAGAACCGUUAUGUAGCGUGAAUUGCAGACAUAUUGAGCGCUAAAAUUUUGAACGCAAAUGGCACUAACAGGUUUAUAUCUGUUAGUACACUUAAUUGAGGGGUUGAUUAAC